AUAAAUAAAUAUAAAAAGAUGAGUGUCUUUAAAACAAUGAUAUUAUUGGAGAAUGAACUAAGUAUUGUUUGUAUGUAUGUAUUAUAUGCAGAAGUGGAGCAGAAUACUACACUAAGGAGUAUCUUGAUGCAGGGAUAGAAAGUGAGGACGAUGGUCCUUUUACUGGUUUUGAUGGUUGAUAGACCAUCUGCUGCAGGAUUUAUGCUUACUCUAUGGAGCAAGUCUCAUUUAUGUUAAUCGCUUUUAUUAUGUAUGGUGAUGUGUGUAAACUUAAUAGAUAUUACUAUGUUAAUUUAGGUGCCGUCUGUGGCAUAUAUUUGGUACACCUAGUGUGUACAUAUGUUGUAAUGAAAACCAUGUUUCUAUUUUAUUUAAUAAUAUAUCACCUCGAGGUAUUUCAGUCAGCUCAA